GUUAAUGUAGCUUAACAAUAAAGCAAAGCACUGAAAAUGCUUAGAUGAGUAGUCACUACUCCAUAAACA
rnacentral:tRNA from 1 species